GACAGAGGGUGCAAGCGUUGUUCGGAAUUAUUGGGCGUAAAGCGCGCGUAGGCGGCGAAGUAAGUCGAAUGUGAAAUCCCAGGGCUCAACCCUGGAAGUGCAUUCGAAACUGUUUCGCUUGAGUCCCGGAGAGGGUGGUAGAAUUCCCAGUGUAGAGGUGAAAUUCGUAGAUAUUGGGAGGAAUACCGGUGGCGAAGGCGACCACCUGGUCGGUGACUGACGCUGAGGCGCGAGAGCGUGGGGAGCAAACAGG
rnacentral:rRNA from 1 species